rnacentral:rRNA from 1 species
GUUGGCGACUAUACCGCGUUAAACACAAAGGUUCUCGUCAGAGCAUCGAAGUUAAGCAACGUUGGGACCGGUUAUUACUUGCGUGGGUGACCGGCUGGGAAUACCGGGUGUUGCCGGCU